UCCGCCGCGUGCGCCGCAUCCCCGAAAAGGCGCGACCGCGAACGCCUUCCUUCCUCCACAAGGAUCACUCGCUCCCGUACCGUACCUCCGUCUCUGCCUCUCGCCUUCCAUCUCCUCUCCUCCUCCGCGGCGCGUCGUCGAACGGCAACGAUAUGAGGCUACAUCCCUUCAAAAAUCGAAAAUUUUGUCUUGCCUGAUUUUCCAUGUAUACUUGACUGGUAGAACUGAGAUGAGAUCUGACCGACAAACCUCAAUUGAUAAUGAGCAGUCUACCCUGAAGCUACUUUCUGCCGUUGUUAACAAACGACUCAGUUCCAUUGUUUAGUGAUACCAAUGCGUUAUUAUGCAAUUCUCUAUGCUGUAACAACAGCUGGACUUCUCUUGUUAGUUGGACAAGUAUAAUCCUGCAAUGAUUGUCUCCAAAGUUGCAUCCCCUACACCCAGAGUUAAGGUUCACUGCAUGUUCGACGCUGCCAUGACCCGAGAGCGAUGGUGCUGAAGACAGGAACCCCACAAGGUAGAAAAUUUCUUCAUCUGGAAUGACCACUGACGUCCUGUUGUCCCAUCUGCAUCGAAUGUGUCAAACACAUGAGUUACCAAAACUUACAACCGCAUUAUAACUCAAGUGAGCCGGAUCUUGCCGAAGACUUCCUUCGCGAAUUUGUGGAUCGUGCUUCUCGGAAUUAGAAGAUUCAGCCACGGGUGUGGAACUUCCCAGAGCCCCUGAGCUCUCAGCUUCAGCUCAGAGGAGUGCACCCUGUCCAAGAACUCCAGCCUCGUCAUGGUUGAAGUUCUUGGUCAUCUCAAGGCAGUAAAGUACUCUUCCGUCCGACUGGAACUGGCUUGCCUGGACUGGGUCCUGCGGCUUGAACGAUGUCCUCCAGUUGUUCAGGAUGCCCGUCCUAUUUAUGAUCACGAACCCUUCGAUGUAGUCGAAGGUCUUCUCUGCUGAGAUCAUCAUCUCCUGGUCCUCGGUGAAGCUCGUGAAGUCCGAGUAGAGAACUCGAAUCCACCUUACCUGUCCAAUUAAUGCAAGCUCAAGAGCAAUCCUGGCUCUGGUGAUGAUCCCAAACUGACCCAGGCCACCAAGAGCACCAUAGAAGAGGUCCGAGUUCUCCUCGGGCGAGCAGAUCUCGGAGACUGGCAAGGCAAAGAUCAGGUACAUGUUCUCCAUGGAUCUUGCAGGUGUGUUGCUGCCAGCCUCCGGCAAGAGGAAUUGUCCGUCUCGGGUUCGUGAUGUAAUUGAAAUUCCGUGGCGAGGCGACACCGAUCUUCUCCGAAGCUGCGGCUGUUGCGCUCGACCGCGCCGAGGUCAGUCACAUGGCGUGCGCGCGCUUGUCUGCGCCGAACCCACAGCGACAUCCCAACACUUCGUGCCAUGUUUAUAUGCUGCUGCUGCCAUCAAGAAUCUCACGAGACAUAUCAGCGGAAUUAAUUCUCGAUAAUAACCUCAAAUCGCAUGGACACGGAUCACCGGUAAGUACGUCUGCUAGAUCUUUUCUUCUUCUGCAUACAGACCAGCCGUUGUCACAUGAUACAUAUGGAUUCAAAAUUGAGAUACUUGACCUACAUACGUGGCAUUCUCACCCAACUACUCGGAAGAGUUUUGUUUUCCUUUCAGGCAGGCAGGGACGUACGUACUGUACCAAUCACGCUGCUCGUAUCGUCUGGGAAUCCGGAGAAGCGUACGUGUGGGGGGUCCCGGCCUGGGCAGUUAGUUUCUCGUAUCUAACAGCAUCUCGCCUGAUGGCAACGUUUACAGGUGUUGUUCUUUUGUUCCUGUGUGCGCACUCACUGAGACAGAGACAGUUACGCAUGCAUGCAUGCGGCGAAGGUGGCCGGAGAGCGAUCGCCGGUGCGGCCCCGGCCCGGGCCUGGGGAUGUCGGAAACGUACUCGCCGGGGCCCGCGCCCCCACGUGGCCUUCUUGACAUUUCCCCUGUCCCUUGGGCUUUCGGCUCGUGGGCUCUCCUGUCUCCUGCUAACGUGCCAGCUCCUCGGGAGGGCAUCAACUGUGGGGGGCCGUGGGAGGCUCUUCUGCGCGUGUACUCUUCCUGGGAUCAUGUGCUUUUGGGGCACAACUACAAGAGCAUGGCUGGGAAGAUCAGAUGGGUGUUCCUGCUGACUUGCUAUAGUAGUUCUAUCAGAUGUACAUUGACUUUGGUUUUUGAUUUUUCUGGAUCACGGGCUCACAGUUGGGUUGAAGUGAGUGGGUUUUUAGUGAUCAUUAUGGAGGGCCACCUAAAUGUACCGAGGCUUAACUUUUACCGCUGGUAUUUAGGGUGUUCUUGACAGUAGUGUUGCAA